CCCAUCUUGUCGGAUCUCGUCCCGAUGGAGACUCACGUUUGCGGCAUCACAGAAGCGCGCGAACCACGCGCGAAAUCGUGCGUGCCACGAGCCAGGAAGGUUAUGUGCGCGAGCUUUGCGUGGCGCUACAUCACCGUUUGGGAUGCGUUCGAAGAUUCUACUCGUGAGGCGAAACAGCGUUUAAUUGGCGAAUCCGGAUCGAAGGAGCAAUGAUUUCUCUGUCCUGAUUGCAGAUCAACAAUGGACCUCGUUAAAAUGCAGUCGGAAUGGAUGCGCGCAUUGGCGCAAGCACAACAACCAAGUGGAAAAAAUACAGGGUGUCUGAAUUGGCGGCAUAAAUUGGCGUAUUCUUCGAUAAGUUCGAGAUUGAUUCUUUUGUAGCGAAAAUAAUGACGAUUUUGGAAUUAUGAUUGGUCAAAAAUAAAAAACUUGGCGCAAUCUGAGUUGGA